ACGGACUUUUUUUGCGGGGAAAGGAGACCCUGUUGAGCUUGACUCUAGUCUGGCAUUGUGAAGAGACAUGAGAGGUGUAGGAUAAGUGGGAGGCUCCGGCCGCUGGUGUAAUACCACUACUCUUAUCGUUUUUACAUCUAAAGAGCAACGUCU